rnacentral:rRNA from 1 species
AUGAAGACCCAUCCUCCGGCAACAUUGUGUCCCGUCCGAACCACUCGUGCUACAACGUGGUGGACAGCGAGUCAAAGGCGAGAGACAGACGCGAGAGGGUCUCCCGGCCCGUACGCCACUACCGCAGGGACAAGGAUGAUGAGGGUGACCGCGAUCGCGGGCGCGGACGCGAUGGGUGGGACGCGCCCAGGGGUGGCCAAGGCUGGGGCGACCGCAUCCGCAGGAGCCUAUCACACGCGCCACGGGACGACUAGCGCGACAACGACAGAAGUGACCGCGACGGCCGCCGGGGCAGCCGCGACGGGCGGCGCCGCGCCUCGUCGCCUCUGCCUCUCAUCGUCCCCAACAGGACACUGCUGCUGGGCUCCGGCUCCGCGAGCACGCCCAUGGCGCAAGAGCGGGAACUCCAGCCCAUCCUUCAAGCACCGGUGCUUCCCGUGGUUGUCCAGCCUGCCGCGGCUGCCGAGGCCCGUGGCCGCAGCCCGGUGA